rnacentral:misc_RNA from 1 species
CGGCCUUUCCUUGUUGAUGACUGUCGAUUGUCACUAAUUAUGGAUCCUCAACUUAAAGGUCGUUUCCCAGUGAAGGCAGCCCGGACAGUGGCUGAUAUCGCUCUCAGAUGCCUUCAGAAGGACCCAUUGGAAAGACCAACUAUGAGAACUAUUGUAGAACAUCUUAAAGUAAUACAAGACAUGAAAUGUUCCACUCGCUUUCCAUUGCAAGAGCCAGCAGCAGUUGCUGGAAAACAGAUGUCUAGGUCACC